rnacentral:hammerhead_ribozyme from 1 species
AUCCAGCUGACACGAGUCCCGAAUAGAACAAAAUGCGCAUCCUGGAU